rnacentral:misc_RNA from 1 species
CAACCCUCAAGCCUGGCUUGGUGUUGGGCCUCCGUCCACUGGACGGGCCUGAAAAUCAGUGGCAAUGCCCUUCCAACUUCAAGCGUAGUAGAUCUAUCUUCGUCUUGAGCGGUUGGAUGGUGUGGUUCGCCAAAACCAAACCUCUGGUUUUGUCUUCU